UACGUAGGGGGCAAGCGUUGUCCGGAAUCAUUGGGCGUAAAGAGCGUGUAGGCGGCCCGAUAAGUCCGCCGUGAAAGUCCAGGGCUCAACCCUGGAAUGCCGGUGGAAACUGUCGGGCUGGAGUCCGGAAGAGGCGAGUGGAAUUCCUGGUGUAGCGGUGAAAUGCGCAGAUAUCAGGAGGAACACCAAUGGCGAAGGCAGCUCGCUGGGACGGUACUGACGCUGAGACGCGAAAGCGUGGGGAUCAAACAGG
rnacentral:rRNA from 1 species